CCGAGGUUUCCCGGGGGGCUCUCCCCCCCUCCCGGAAACGGGAGGGGGAGGCUCCCCCGAUCUCUCUUUUUCCACCGUGCUGAAUUGACCCCUGUUGCUUCAGCGGGCGGGCCUUGGAGGGUGAUGCUAGCUCCAACCCUCCACCGCCAGGAUGCCCGCUGGAGAUCUCCCUGUAACCUUCUGAUGGGCUUUUUAAGUGAAGAAUUUGUCUGAGUGGGCGUGAAAUUUUCGUUAUA
rnacentral:misc_RNA from 1 species